AGUGAACGCUGGCGGUAGGCCUAACACAUGCAAGUCGAACGGCAGCACAGUAAGAGCUUGCUCUUACGGGUGGCGAGUGGCGGACGGGUGAGGAAUACAUCGGAAUCUACUUUUUCGUGGGGGAUAACGUAGGGAAACUUACGCUAAUACCGCAUACGACCUACGGGUGAAAGCAGGGGAUCUUCGGACCUUGCGCGAUUGAAUGAGCCGAUGUCGGAUUAGCUAGUUGGCGGGGUAAAGGCCCACCAAGGCGACGAUCCGUAGCUGGUCUGAGAGGAUGAUCAGCCACACUGGAACUGAGACACUGUCCAGACUCCUACGGGAGGCAGCAGUGGGGAAUAUUGGACAAUGGGCGCAAGCCUGAUCCAGCCAUACUGCGUGGGUGAAGAAGGCCUUCGGGUUGUAAAGCCCUUUUGUUGGGAAAGAAAAGCAGCAGGUUAAUACCCCGCUGUUCUGACGGUACCCAAAGAAUAAGCACCGGCUAACUUCG
rnacentral:rRNA from 1 species